AUAUAUGGCCAUAUCACGUUCGAAACACUAGUUCUUGUCUGUUCAUCAAAGUUAAGCAGUGUCGGGCCUCAUUAGCACUUAGAUGGGUGACCGCUUAAGAAACCUAGGUGCUGUAAAUA
rnacentral:rRNA from 1 species